rnacentral:rRNA from 1 species
AUUGAACGCUGGCGGCAUGCUUUACACAUGCAAGUCGAACGGUAACAGGGUGCUUGCACCGCUGACGAGUGGCGAACGGGUGAGUAAUGCGUCGGAACGUGCCGAGUAGUGGGGGAUAACGCAUCGAAAGGUGUGCUAAUACCGCAUACGUACUGAGGUAGAAAGUGGGGGACCUUCGGGCCUCACGCUAUCCGAGCGGCCGACGUCUGAUUAGCUAGUUGGUGAGGUAAAGGCUCACCAAGGCGACGAUCAGUAGCGGGUCUGAGAGGAUGAUCCGCCACACGGGGACUGAGACACGGCCCAGACUCCUACGGGAGGCAGCAGUGGGGAAUUUUGGACAGUGGGCGCAAGCCUGAUCCAGCCAUGCCGCGUGUCUGAAGAAGGCCUUCGGGUUGUAAAGGACUUUUGUCCGGGAGCAAAUGCCUGGUGUUAAUAGCACUGGGAGCUGAGAGUACCGGAAGAAUAAGCACCGGCUAACUACGUGCCAGCAGCCGCCGUAACAC